rnacentral:rRNA from 1 species
UUGCAAUUGGAUUGAGAACAAUGUACAAAUGUUAUCGAUAAACAAUUGGAGGGCAAGUCUGGUGCCAGCAGCCGCGGUAAUUCCAGCUCCAAUAGCGUAUAUUAACGUUGUUGCAGUUAAAAAGCUCGUAGUUGAAUUGAAGUGAACUUGGAUUGAUGUGAUCUUCGGAUGACGUGAAUCAAAGUUGACUCUUUCCAAAGUCAAUACAUUGGUAUUCAUUUAUCUUUGUAUUGUGUUUGGUCAUUUACUGUGAGAAAAUUAGAGUGUUCAAAGCAGACGUUUGUUUGAAUACAUUAGCAUGGAAUAAUCAUAUAAGGCUUUCAUGUUGAUUUGAUUGGUUUGAAUAUGGAAGCAAGAUUAAAAGGGACAGUUGGGGGUAUUCAUAUUCAAUAGUCAGAGGUGAAAUUCUGGGAUUUAUGGAAGAUGAACAAGUGCGAAAGCAUUUACCAAGGAUGUUUUCAUUAAUCAAGAACGAAAGUUAGGGGAUCGAAGAGGAUUAGAUACCCUCGU